rnacentral:rRNA from 1 species
AGUGAACGCUGGCGGUAGGCCUAACACAUGCAAGUCGAACGGCAGCACAGGAGAGCUUGCUCUCUGGGUGGCGAGUGGCGGACGGGUGAGGAAUACAUCGGAAUCUACUCUGUCGUGGGGGAUAACGUAGGGAAACUUACGCUAAUACCGCAUACGACCUACGGGUGAAAGCAGGGGAUCUUCGGACCUUGCGCGGUUGAAUGAGCCGAGGUCGGAUUAGCUAGUUGGCGGGGUAAAGGCCCACCAAGGCGACGAUCCGUAGCUGGUCUGAGAGGCUGAUCAGACACACUGGAACUGAGACACGGGCCAGACUCCUACGGGAGGCAGCAGUGGGGAAUAUUGGACAAUGGGCGCAAGCCUGAUCCAGCCAUACCGCGUGGGUGAAGAAGGCCUUCGGGUUGUAAAGCCCUUUUGUUGGGAAAGAAAUCCAGCUGGCUAAUACCCGGUUGGGAUGACGGUACCCAAAGAAUAAGCACCGGCUAACUUCGUGCCAGCCGCCGCAGUAA